rnacentral:rRNA from 1 species
AGAGUUUGAUCCUGGCUCAGGAUGAACGCUGGCGGCGUGCUUAACACAUGCAAGUCGAGCGAAGCAGUUAAGUUGAUUUCUUCGGAUUGAUUCUUGAUUGACUGAGCGGCGGACGGGUGAGUAACGCGUGGGUGACCUGCCCCAUACCGGGGGAUAACAGCUGGAAACGGCUGCUAAUACCGCAUAAGCGCACAGAGCUGCAUGGCUCAGUGUGAAAAACUCCGGUGGUAUGGGAUGGGCCCGCGUCUGAUUAGGCAGUUGGCGGGGUAACGGCCCACCAAACCGACGAUCAGUAGCCGGCCUGAGAGGGCGACCGGCCACAUUGGAACUGAGACACGGUCCAAACUCCUACGGGAGGCAGCAGUGGGGAAUAUUGCACAAUGGGGGAAACCCUGAUGCAGCAACGCCGCGUGAGUGAAGAAGUAUUUCGGUAUGUAAAGCUCUAUCAGCAGGGAAGAUAAUGACGGUACCUGACUAAGAAGCUCCGGCUAAAUACGUGCCAGCAGCCGCGGUAAUACGUAUGGAGCAAGCGUUAUCCGGAUUUACUGGGUGUAAAGGGUGCGUAGGUGGCAGUGCAAGUCAGAUGUGAAAGGCCGGGGCUCAACCCCGGAGCUGCAUUUGAAACUGCUCGGCUAGAGUACAGGAGAGGCAGGCGGAAUUCCUAGUGUAGCGGUGAAAUGCGUAGAUAUUAGGAGGAACACCAGUGGCGAAGGCGGCCUGCUGGACUGUUACUGACACUGAGGCACGAAAGCGUGGGGAGCAAACAGGAUUAGAUACCCUGGUAGUCCACGCCGUAAACGAUAAUAAUAGGUGUCGGGGGCCGUAUAGG